rnacentral:rRNA from 1 species
GAUGAACGCUGGCGGCGUGCUUAACACAUGCAAGUCGAACGAUGAAGCCCAGCUUGCUGGGUGGAUUAGUGGCGAACGGGUGAGUAACACGUGAGUAACCUGCCCUUGACUCUAGGAUAAGCCCGGGAAACUGGGUCUAAUACUGGAUAGGAACGUCUACCGCAUGGUGGGUGUUGGAAAGAAUUUCGGUCAUGGAUGGACUCGCGGCCUAUCAGCUUGUUGGUGAGGUAAUGGCUCACCAAGGCGACGACGGGUAGCCGGCCUGAGAGGGUAACCGGCCACACUGGGACUGAGACACGGCCCAGACUCCUACGGGAGGCAGCAGUGGGGAAUAUUGCACAAUGGGCGAAAGCCUGAUGCAGCGACGCCGCGUGAGGGAUGACGGCCUUCGGGUUGUAAACCUCUUUCAGUAGGGAAGAAGCGAAAGUGACGGUACCUGCAGAAGAAGCACCGGCUAACUACGUG